AUGCAUUUUGGCCGGUCAAAUUGUGUCAGGCGGCUGCCAGUCCCCGUGUUUUCGUAUCAGCGGAAACAUAGCGACAUAGCGACCGCGCCUGUGCCUGGCUCUCCAUGCCUGGACGACGCGACCAUAGCAAACGCCUUACGAAUGAAUCGGAUACUCGUGAACAGACAGUAAGUGCUUCGAGAGACGCUGUGCGCACACUUCUCGCUGCCGAAAGCCGUCUCGUCCAGGAUGCAUUGAAGCGGACACACACAGCCUGCAGCGAAGAACAACGCGACGGACAUUGCUCUACUCCACUUGGCAUCCUCUUAGACCCCCUCGUGAGCCUUGGCCGACGCCUGGCAAUGCUGGUUGGCUGCACUCGUAUCUGACGAGCCCGGCGACGUUUUGCUGCAGCAGUAGCCUUGAGUGCCAGCAUCAGCGCAGUUCCAUCCAUGCUGUUUUGCACACGAGCCAGCUCCUCUCCAAGGCCCUUCAGGAUCUCGAGGCCUGGCGUUAUUUAUGCAUCUGGCGAGCAGUGAAAGAGUCCUGCCAUCAUCUUCUAGAGCAUGGGUCUCAGCUGCACGCAGCCUGCCAACCUUUCGCUAGCAGCCCAUAGCCCACGCGUGACAGUUUUCCCAUAUUUUUUGAUGACUUUUGUGACUUUGCUAAAGGGUGCUGGCAUUAUUUUCUUGCCUGUCGUGAUUAAUAACACUUUGUUCGGGUAAGCCACACAAAUGUGAAUGGUCAUAAGCAUCUUUUUUUCAUCAGACACCUCAUGCGGUCACCUUGUGUUGAAACAUCACCGCAGAACAAAAACUAAGCUUAAGGAUUGGCGUCCAGAUAUUAGUCAUUGUGGAGAUCGGUAUAGAUAUGUUUCUCUAUUUCUGAUGCCAAAUACCCUUAAGAAAUGACCAAUAUAAGAGAUAUGGGAAAGGCUUCCCUUCAAGUGGCAAUGUUAGCUGACAUUUUACUUACACUCCCCCACUCCCUCCCCACGCAGUUCUGACAUUUUCACUGUCACUGCCCUUUGUAAGAUUAAAUUUCAUAACUGCAGUCCGAUAGCUGAUGUGAGUUUGAGACCCCUGUUUUAGAGCAUAGCCUUAAACCAUCAGUUUAAAAGAUUAAAAAACAGUGGCUAUUCCCAAAGCAUGCUCGUAGGAAUCAGUGAAAAUUAAAAAAAAAGAAACCAAAAACCCAUGCGCCACCAAAGAAAUAAGGACACACUGACCUCAGCAAAGCAGCAGUUGUUCUGUUUUUGUACAGCAUCUUGCACUAUAUGAAACAAGCAGGGCGAACAUGCAGUGUCAGUGUUUUUUUGUCUUCAGCGCUUCAUAAGCUUUAAGGGAUUCUGCAAAGCGGUGAACAAUAACUGAAGAAAAAGUACACAACAAACCACCAAGACCCCCUUGUACUAUGUGCUAAGAAGGUUGUGUGCAGUAUUCCCCUAACCUGCGGUAAAGAAUAUAUAUGAUUUUCUCCUUGCAUGGCCGAAGCUUAUCUGUAUGAUGGAGCCCAGUGUGUCAGAAUUGACGACGUGUGCUCAGAUCCUGUACCUGUUAAGUCUAGCUCUAUGCUCUAUGUUGAUGACUGCACAGUCUAUCACAACAUUCAGAACCCUAAUGAUCAGGCUCUACUUAACAAUGCUUUAGCACAAAUUGCAGUGUGGUGCACAGAUUGGCAAAUGAAAAUAAACAUUAAAAAAUCUGUUGCGAUGACUGUGACACAAAACGACAGCCAUUAAGUUAUCACUGCAUAGGCGGCAGGUCUCUUGCUGUUUUCAACAGAUAUAAAUACCUCAGGGUGACAGUAACGUCAGAUAUGAGGUGGAAUGAACACAUAUAUUGAAAGGUGUGCGGAGGGCUAUGUGGAAACUUGGUUACUUAAAAAGAAAUAUGCGGCAAUGUACACACGAGGUUAGAUUAAUAGCGUAUAAAACUGUAGUCCAUCCUGUAAUAGAAUAUGCAUCGAUAGGUUGGGGCCCAUACAGUCAAGGAAACACAAACAAACUAGAAACUGUCCAAUAGAAAGUGGUUAGGUUUGUAUAUCGUUCUUAUAGCUGGCGCACUUCUGCUAGUGCUUUGGUAAAAAAAGCAGGUCUAGAAUUCCUACAAAAGUGGCGCCAACACGACCGGUUAAAAAAUUCAUGCACCUGUUAUUCCAUGAUAAACUUGGUAUUCAUAAACACACUUACAUAUAGCCAGUGUCCAGGUGAGCCACCCAUUCACACCACAGUAAAAAAAUAAAAGAAUAUCCCUGCCACACUAAAACUUGCAAAGUUGUUUUUUCCAAAGACAAUUUGUGAAUGGAACCGCCUGCCAGCCGGCGUUGUGGAACGUCUAACUACUGAUUCUUUUGUACAAAUUCUUCAUUUGUAAUCGCUUUGACAAUAAUUUACAACCGUUAUAGUUUCAAAUGUUGUCCAUAUGCCUUACACUUAUUUGUUUUUUUUUGUGAGCACAUUAUAACUCUUUUCUUUAACCCCUUUUAGUUGACAUGACAUGUCUAUCGCAUCUUCACAUUCUUUUUUUUUUCUUUUACAUGAGAAGAAGUUCUGUCAUCUUUCUCCAGUCGGUUUGCGCAUACCAUGCUCUAAAAAUUGCAUAUAUGCUUUGUAUCUCACUCUUCAGGAACGUUUUUUUUUUCUUGUUCUUUUCGAUUCAUGUGACACAAUUGUUGUAUCUUGAUUUGUUCACUUCGUUUUGUACUUGUAACUCCCACUCCUGCUUACAGCCUCAUCUAGAGGCUAGCAGUACUGUAUGAAUAAACAAAUAAAUAAAUAAAUAAAUAAAUAGGGCAUACAGGACGCUGUAUUAAUAAACGUCUCCUGGAACACAGAUACCCCUGCCAACAAUUGCAAGCAGCAGGUCACCUCGUUGCACACUGAAAACGAUGCUGUACACCAAAGUUUCGUGACACGUGUUGCUUGCACAUCGCAGUGAUAAAGAUACCAGGGAGGUAAAAGAAACCCUUUUCAUCAUAGGGGCAAAAGAGCAAUGCAUCAGCACACCCUUGCUGUUGCAUUUAACACAAGCAGAAAUAAAAUUUCUAGAAAGUGAUAUACACUGAUCCGCCGAAAAUUUGUCUGUGCUUAAUAAGGCAUAUGCUAUGUUCUGGCAUCAUAUUUGUUUUCUUUUUUGCCUUUUUGCGUUUUUCUGCCCUUUACCUUAACCCUCGAACCUGAUUGCACUUCACAAGAUGUGAAUAAAUCAGUUGUAAGUUUGCACACCAACUGUCCUGUAAUCCCUCACGAAAGAAAUCGUGAAAGACCACCAAUUAGCCCAAUUUGUCACUCUGCUAAACCUUUAUUACUGCCUGCCAGAAUUGUUAAAAUGUGUUAAUGGCUGUAUUAACAAACAAGUGCGGGAAACUGUUUUUACUGAAAUGUGGUGGUUCAAUGGUGUCUCUUCUAGAAAUUCUUUCCAUGUAUUUAAAGUCGACGCUGGUAGGUUGGAAGGAAGGCAUUUAUAUGCAGAAAUCGGGGAUAUGUAUUGGUUCUAAGGUUGCUCUGAUACUUAGUGAUUUAUACCUUAGCAAGAUUGAGAAGCGGUUAGAAGGUGCCUUAGAUAAUUCUGUAAAGGUUUUUUUUUUAUGUGCACGAUUACUUGAUUUUUUGUAGCGGUGAGGACAUUGACUCUGUGGUUACCUCAGUGAGCAAGAAAUUUGAAAUAAAUGGAGGAGGGCUGAACUAAAGAAUGCCCUUGGAAUAAUGGAAUGCAAUUUUUAUACAUUUCUGUAACAUUUUAGAAGAACCGCACAUGCUGGCAGUAUUCUCCUAGAUAGUCAAGGCCACCGUUUCACUUCUUGUCAAAGCAUUUUAAGGUUGUAAAAAAUGGUAUAGCCAUGUCGUGCCUUAAAUUUUCCCUCAACAAUUCAUGUGAGCACAAAGUGAGUUCUAGCUUGAAAGCACAGCUUGCGCGUCUUUUAUAUGUGGGUUAUCCUUGCAUUGCAGUGGCCACUGUCGCUGAACGCUUAAAGAAGUCCAUUUUGUUAGGAGCGAGCAUGAUUGCAGAAAGCAAUAGGAAGAAACGUGUCAUAGGUAUUCUUUACAUUCCUGCAUAUCUCACAGGCU